GAUGAACGCUGGCGGCGUGCUUAACACAUGCAAGUCGAGCGAACAGACGAGGAGUUUGUGCGUUGGACGUUAGGCGCGCACGGGUGUGAAACACGUGGAAAAUCCACUUAUAAGAGGGGGAUAAUCACGGGAAACCGGAGCUAAUCCCGGAUAACAUGCUGAUCCGCAGUGUUGAAUAGUGAAAGACGGCCUUGCUGUCACUUAUAGAUGCAUCUCGGCUGCAUUAGCUGGUUGGGAAGGUAACGGCUUACCAAGGGAACGAGGCGUGGCCGACCUGAGAGGCGGAUCGGCCACACUGGAGCUGAGACGCGGUCAUGGCUCCUGCGAGAGGCAGCAGUAGGGAAUCGGCGGCAGUGGGCGAGAGCCUGGCGGAGCGACGCCGCGUGAGUGGAAACGGUCUUCGGUUCGUGAUGCUCUGUUAUGGGGUAUGAACCGAUGUGGAAGUAGCUGUACAGGGCGUGACGGUACCUGGUCAAAAAGCCACGGCUAACUACGUG
rnacentral:rRNA from 1 species